rnacentral:rRNA from 1 species
GACUGAGUGGCGGACGGGUGAGUAACGCGUGGGUAACCUGCCUCACACAGGGGGAUAACAGUUGGAAACGGCUGCUAAUACCGCAUAAGCGCACAGUACCGCAUGGUACAGUGUGAAAAACUCCGGUGGUGUGAGAUGGACCCGCGUCUGAUUAGCUAGUUGGCAGGGCAACGGCCUACCAAGGCGACGAUCAGUAGCCGACCUGAGAGGGUGACCGGCCACAUUGGGACUGAGACACGGCCCAAACUCC